UUUCCCCUUCUCCUCCUCCUCUACUUCCUUCUCUUAGUAUAGAAUCUCAGUCAUUGCCAAAUUCAAGAUUUAGCCUUCAGCAUCAAAGGCAGAGCAUCAUCCUUAAGUAGCAAAACUUGACCAAGUCAAAGUUUUUCUGCACAUGAAAAGUCAACUUUAGAUAUGUUACCAUAUAUGGCAUUGCUAUGAUGAUAACGGCCUUAUUAUGUAAUAGGAAUUUUCCUUUUUAUCCCGGAAUCGCAUCCCACCCUAUAUUCCUCACCAUCCCUCAAUUGAUUGCAUCAAAAGAAUGUUACGCUGGGCAUCAUACGGAGAUUAUGCAGUACUGCAUGAGAUUAGUUUCACGUUCUUUUAUUUCACAAUAAAAAAGAAGAAACUCAAAUUUCCAAGUAUCAAUAUUUCUUCACUAGGCGUAUCCUGAGUCCUGACCCCGGGGGCUCCAUCCCUCCCAUCUGAAGGGGGUGUGAGGGUUAAACUAUGGGUUGUUGUUGAUUACAAGUUUUGGAACACUCCCAAAACAUGUCAUUUCAUUAAUUAAGAGCUUUUUACUAUUAGAGGUUUGAUGUGACACCUUCUGAAAACCUUUCUGUGACCCCGUCCCUUAGAGUAACAGUUUCAGGUGGUGCUAGGGAGAUAGUCCAUUCACAAUCAGCUGGUGGAAUGAGAGCAUAUCCUAAUUCAAGAGAUAAAGUACACUGUACAAUUCUCCUGUGGCUAACAGCAGACCUUCAAAGCCAGCUGCAGAUCCUUCCAGUUCUCUUUCCGAGUGGUUAUUAGGGGAGCUAUAAAGGAUAAGCCCCAUUGGGUUUAAUUGAAGGCAAUUCUGUCAUUUUCAUGGAGGCAGAAAUUGAACAAAAGAAGGAGGAGGAAGAAGAGGAAGAAACAGAUUAUCCUUCACUGCCUUCUACUGUAGAGUUGCCUUUGUCAUCAGAAGAAGGCAUACAUGUGUAUGCGUAUGCAUUGGUAGCUUCAAUAAAGUCAUUGCUUCACUUUUAUGUACAACACAAUUCACCAUCAACCACUAAAGCAUAUUACAGUGACUUGAGGACUCAUUAUAAACACUUUAAUGAAAAUAAGCAUGGUA
rnacentral:lncRNA from 1 species